CCCGGGCGGCGGUGGCGGCGGCCAUGGCGGCCAUGAGCCUCCUGCUGCGUGGCUCGGCCGCCCUGUGGGGCCCCCGGCUGCUCCCCCGGCCCCGGUUCCACGCCUUCCUCGUCGGCCGCUCCCCCGGGACCAGGGAUGAUGUAGCAGGGUGUUUUUAAUAUUUCCAGCUCCGGUACGUCAUAGCGGUGGCCAUGGUAAAAAAAUGUUCAUCAUUAAGCCUUCACAUUUUUAUGACAACCGCUUUUUGAAUUUGUUGAAAUUCUAUAUUUUGUUGACUGGGAUUCCCGUUGCCAUCAUCAUAACUCUGGUGAAUGUGUUCAUUGGUGAAGCUGAAUUGGCCGAAAUUCCUGAAGGCUAUGUCCCAGAGCACUGGGAAUAUUCAAGCACCCCAUAACUAGGUGGAUCACUCGUAAUUUCCUGGAGAGUCCUGAAAGGAACUAUGAAAGAACACUUAAUAUCCUGCAAAUAGAAUCUGAAAAGGCUGACCUGAGGUUAAAGCAACUGGAAAUACGCAGACUGAUGCGACAAAGAGGAGAUGGACCCUGGUAUUAUUAUCCAACCAUCGAUAAGGAGCUUAUUGAUUAUUCUCCAAAAUCAACACCCGACAACUAACCUGUUAGUUCUUUAUCAUUAAAAUCUAUCAACCCGAAUGACAAAAUAAAUAACAGACUAUAUGUAUACUUA